rnacentral:rRNA from 1 species
UACGUAGGUGACAAGCGUUGUCCGGAUUUACUGGGCGUAAAGAGCGCGCAGGCGGUCGAUCAAGUCGAGUGUGAAAGCCCCCGGCUCAACUGGGGAGGGUCAUUCGAUACUGAUCGACUCGAAGGCAGGAGAGGGUAGUGGAAUUCCCGGUGUAGUGGUGAAAUUCGUAGAUAUCGGGAGGAACACCGGUGGCGAAGGCGGCGACCUGGGUCGACACUGACGCUGAGGCGCGAAAGCCAGGGGAGCAAACGGG